ensembl:lncRNA
UAUGGGCCCUGGUCAAAUGUAGAAUGAGUUGCCAUUUGGGACACACAACCCCAGUGAAUAUGAGUAGCAUGAGUCCAUGGACAGAAUAUAUUACUAAGGUGUUUGAGACUUGAGACUUGCUGAUCAGCCUGACUAACCCAACACCUUAUUGAGACUUGUAGAUGCCAACACCUUAUUGAGACUUGUUGAUCAGCCUGACUAACCCAACACCUUAUUGAGACUUGUUGAUCAGCCUGACUAACCCAACACCUUAUUGACACUUGUUGAUCAGCCUGACUAACCCAACACCUUAUUGAGACUUGUUGAUGCCAACACCUUAUUGAGACUUGUUGAUCAGCCUGACUAACCCAACACCUUAUUGAGACCUGCUGAUCAGCCUGACUAACCCAACACCUUAUUGAGACUUGUUGAUCCCAACACCUUAUUGAGACUUGUUGAUCAGCCUGACUAACCCAACACCUUAUUGAGACUUGUUGAUCAGCCUGACUAACCCAACACCUUUUUGAGACUUGUUGAUCCCAACACCUUAUUGAGACUUGCUGAUCAGUCUGACUAACCCAAUAGCGUAUGGCUCAAGAGGUUCAAUAAUAUAAUAACACCUACUAACCAACAGAUAAAGUGCCAACAAGGAAAAAGUGGUCUCUGCUGAACGCAGAAGGCUACAGUCAAAUUAUCCUAUAUUUGGCCCAAAUGACACCCUGUUCCCUAUAAAGUGCACUACUUUUGAACUGGUCAUUUAGGGUGCCAUUUGGGAUUUAGCCAGAAGGAUAUAAUAAUGUGUAUUACAUUCAUUUAAAUAAAUUUAACUAAAGACAACAGGUCUCUCCCUAGACCAGUUACUGGUUACAGACAACAGGUCUCUCCCUAGACUAGUUACUGGUUACAGACAACAGGUCUCUCCCUAGACUAGUUACUGGUUACAGACAACAGGUCUCUCCCUAGACUAGUUACUGGUUACAGACAACAUGUCUCUCCCUAGACUAGUUACUGGUUACAGACAACAGGUCUCUCCCUAGACUAGUUACUGGUUACAGACAACAGGUCUCUCCCUAGACUAGUUACUGGUUACAGACAACAGGUCUCUCCCUAGACUAGUUACUGGUUACAGACAACAGGUCUCUCCCUAGACUAGUUACUGGUUACAGACAACAGACUGCAACGCAGGGCUUGGGUCAAGAGAAGUGUUGUGUAGGAUGCCGUUUGAGGUGUGGCACUAUGGAAAGCAGCGUCUGGGAGGUCAAGGGUCAAAGACCACCCAGGCAGAGGUCAAGGGUGGGUGACCUCACUCUCUUUAACAGUACUCAACAUAGAGGGGGGCGGGAUCUGACUGAUGGGACAGGUUUCAACAGCCGGCGUCUGUGAUUGGACAGCUAUCCAUUCACUCACUCCCUGUGGGGAAUAACAUUGCACUGUCUGUCAAAUAAAUAUUCAACCUAGUCCACCCGGUUCUAUUGGAGAGAAAAGAUCAGAACAUUCCAGUUCCGUUGGAGAGAACAGAUGAGAACAUUCUGGUUACAUUUAACACACCAGAACAUUCUGGUUCUGUUGGAAGGAACACACCAGAACAUUCCGGUUCUGUUGGGGUGAACAAUUCAGAACAUUCCAGUUACAUUGGAUAGAAA